AAUGAACGCUGGCGGCAGGCCUAACACAUGCAAGUCGAACGGGCACUUCGGUGCUAGUGGCGGACGGGUGAGUAACGCGUGGGAACGUGCCCCUUGGUACGGAACAACUCAGGGAAACUUGGGCUAAUACCGUAUGAUGCGGAGAUGCCAAAGAUUUAUCGCCUUGGGAUAAGCCCGCGUCAGAUUAGGUAGUUGGUGGGGUAAUGGCCUACCAAGCCUGUGAUCUGUAGCUGGUCUGAGAGGACGAUCAGCCACAUUGGGACUGAGACACGGCCCAAACUCCUACGGGAGGCAGCAGUGGGGAAUCUUGCGCAAUGGGCGAAAGCCUGACGCAGCCAUGCCGCGUGAAUGAUGAAGGUCUUAGGAUUGUAAAGUUCUUUAGCCUGUGACGAUGAUGACGGUAACAGGAGAAUAAGCCCCGGCUAACUUCGUGCCAGCCGCCGCUGUAA
rnacentral:rRNA from 1 species